GAGGACUAAACUCUAAAGCUUUAAUCUAAACAAAGGAAAAUGCUUUGUAGUACAAUACGAAAAUGAAUGAGCAAAUCUACAUCUUUGCUUUUUGGAGAAUAUCAUUUCUAUCCUUUACCUAUUUUCUAUAUUACCACAUUACCCAUGUAUGUUAAGUGGUCUUCUAUCUAGUUGAUCAAAUUUUGUUAAAGUGCUUGUGGCACUACGGUAUUUAGCAAUGAUCAUAAAAUAGGAAAAUAAAAACUGGAUUAAAACCUAGCUAAUUAUAUGAGAGAUUCAAACAAUGUCACAAAUAUUUAUGUCAAAACAUAACAUAACCAUAAUUAUUAAAGAUGGAAAGGGUGUAGCAAAAAGGUAUAAACACAUAAUGAUCCUAACUAGUUGCUUAGUGCGCGUGAAUAACAUAUAGUGCCAAACAUAUACUCUUUCUGGUCCUAUAUAUAAGAGAAAAUUUACUUUUUAAAUUCAUUAAGAAUCUAAUGUAUUUAGACUGUAUUAUGGAUCAGAUACAAUAGAUUCUUAAUGAAUCUAAAAAAUAAAUUUUCUCUUAUAUAUAAAACCAGAGGGAGUACAUAAUUAAGCACAUUAACUUGAACUACAGUACUUUAUUAUAUACUCCUAUAUUGUGGGAAAGAAUUAGUUCUAGUUAAUUAACCACCCUCGUUGAUGAACUCAAAACAUGUGAAAAAGAGUGUGUACUAAAAUAUGCAAUUUCGUGUAUACUACAUUACUACCCGUGAUCAAGGGAGGGUUUGCUUAGGAAAGGGUGCGAAUUGGUUUACCUAUCAACAGAUUCUGUCUUCAACUGCUUGGCUUGGUAUCGGGUAGUUAACCAAACUAACUGCUCUUUCUCCUGACUUUUCUAGCAAUGGUAAAAUAAUGCCUCGAUGAUCGGUGAUAUUUCGUUUGGUUGCACCAUAACUCUUCUUUCUUUGUUUGAUGUUUAUCUCCGGUAAUAUUAGCGAAUUU
rnacentral:lncRNA from 1 species